AGCAGUAAUCUCGCUGAAAGGGGGUGGAUCCGGAACCUCUAGAAGGUUAACAUAGGCUCUCCACCACGUAUUCCUACUCAAUACGUCCCCGUCGCUCAAAACGGUAGCAUGUCUCUCAAUUAUCCAAGCUUGGGUAUACGGGCGGAUGGGUUGCAUGGUUAAAUAAUGAGGA
rnacentral:ribozyme from 1 species